ACUGGUCCCACAGCCACUGGUCCGACAGGCACUGCACAAGGCGGAGGUACUGGUCCGACAGGCACUGGUCCAACAGGUACGGGUCCGACAGGAACUGCUCCGACAGGUACUGGUCCGACAGGUACUGGUCCUACAGGCGUAGUUUAAGCGUUUUAAGUUGAUGCAGAUAUCAUCAUUCCAACCGCGCUAUUCGAAGCGAUAGCAAAGGCGCAUGGUUGCAUUAAUUGCGGUAAAGUAGUGGUUGGGGUCAGAUUAGUCAUUGAUGGUCUCAGGUCGUAAGUCAGUGUUUACUAAAAUACACCUCUAGCUACUAAUGGAUUGAUGAAUAAAGCAUAAACAGCAGCAAACAAA